UGGAAUUGAAGCCUAAUGGUUUGGCACAUGAUUGUAAAUCAUGCGAAGUUGUUCAUUGAAGGUUCGAAUCCUUCCGAUUCCAA
rnacentral:tRNA from 1 species